GGGCGCAAGCCUGAUGCAGCCAUGCCGCGUGUAUGAAGAAGGCCUUCGGGUUGUAAAGUACUUUCAGCGGGGAGGAAGGGAGUGAGGUUAAUAACCUUAUUCAUUGACGUUACCCGCAGAAGAAGCACCGGCUAACUCCGUGCCAGCAGCCGCGGUAAUACGGAGGGUGCAANMRWNAANNGGAAUUACUGGGCGUAAAGCGCACGCAGGCGGUCUGUCAAGUCGGAUGUGAAAUCCCCGGGCUCAACCUGGGAACUGCAUUCGAAACUGGCAGGCUGGAGUCUUGUAGAGGGGGGUAGAAUUCCAGGUGUAGCAGUGAAAUGCGUAGAGAUCUGGAGGAAUACC
rnacentral:rRNA from 1 species